CACGUAGGGUGCGAGCGUUGUCCGGAAUUAUUGGGCGUAAAGGGCUCGUAGGCGGUUUGUCGCGUCGGGAGUGAAAACACGGGGCUUAACCCCGUGCCUGCUUCCGAUACGGGCAGACUAGAGGUAUGCAGGGGAGAACGGAAUUCCUGGUGUAGCGGUGAAAUGCGCAGAUAUCAGGAGGAACACCGGUGGCGAAGGCGGUUCUCUGGGCAUCUCCUGACGCUGAGGCGCGAAAGCGUGGGGAGCAAACGGG
rnacentral:rRNA from 1 species